GAUGAACGCUGGCGGCGGGCCUAACACAUGCAAGUCGAACGGAAGGACACUAAGAUUGUGCUGUUAUGGAUGGCGGAUGGCGGACGGGUGAGGCGUGCAUCGUGAUCUAGUUUUUCGGGGAGGAUAACGAAGGGAAAGUUAAGAUAAGACAGGAUAUUAUGUACCGGUGAGAGCAGGGGAUAGUCUCGGCGUUUGCGGAUGAAUUAGCCGAUGUCGGAUUAGCUAGUUGGGUGGGUAAAGGCCCAGCAAGGCGAGGAUGCGUAGCUUGUCUGAGAGGAUGAUCGGCCACACUGGAACUUAGACACGGUCCAGACUCCUACGGGAGGCAGCAGUGGGGAAUAUUAGGCAAUGGGGGCAAGCAUGACCCAGCCAUGCCGAGUGAGUGACGAAGGCCUUCGGGUUGUAAAGCCCUUUUGUUGGGAAAGAAAAGCUGUCGAUUAAUACGCCGCUGUUCUGACGGUACCCAAUAAAUAAGCACCGGCUAACUACGUG
rnacentral:rRNA from 1 species